UCUGAGUUCCAAAGUCACUGCCACCAUUCCUGCAUUCAUCCAUGUCUCCAUCAGCUGAGUUUAGAGUGCUGUUGAGGCUGUAACUACCAUGGCAUCUGACAACGGAAGGGACUAUUUCAAAGAAUACGCUAAAGUGCUAUAGAAGAAAACCCUUAUUGGAAUUCAUAAUGUUACAAAUGAAGGCUAAAUCUAUAGAAGUGCAUGUUUCGUGUGCUUAAGUUUUAUAGCUUUCUUGCUGACACCAUUUAUGGGAGUUGAAGUCCAGCAAUGUUGUAUAUGUGUAUGCAUGCAUUGCCAAAUCUUAAGGUUGUACGUAGUUACGUUGAUUUCUAAGCAUUUUCAAGUACUCUGCUUUUGUUUAACAGAAGUCUUUCAACUCUAAAUGAGUUCUCAUAUCCUCCUUGACAGUUCUCAGAAACCAAUUUCCAUUUUUAGGUAUAGUGUUUUAUAUAAUGACAAGUUUGAUUUUAAUCAUUGAGAGCAGAUGCAGUUAUUACUGAAAAUAAUGAUACAUUUUCUUGAUAGAAUUGCCUCUUAUUUUUUUCCCCUUUAUUAAUAUUAAUGGUGUUAAUAAUGUAUUAGUAGUAGAAGACUAAAAUCUGUUACAACAAAAUUUGGAACACUUCCCUAAAUUUUGUAGGACUAUAUACAAUAAAGCUGUCUAAGAAAUGAUGCA
rnacentral:lncRNA from 1 species